rnacentral:rRNA from 1 species
CCUACGGGGGGCUGCAGUGGGGAAUAUUGGACAAUGGGGGGAACCCUGAUCCAGCCAUGCCGCGUGUGUGAAGAAGGCCCUCGGGUUGUAAAGCACUUUCAGUGAGGAAGAACGCCUGUUGGUUAAUACCCAUCAGGAAAGACAUCACUCACAGAAGAAGCACCGGCUAACUCCGUGCCAGCAGCCGCGGUAAUACGGAGGGUGCGAGCGUUAAUCGGAAUUACUGGGCGUAAAGCGCGCGUAGGUGGCUUGAUAAGCCGGUUGUGAAAGCCCCGGGCUCAACCUGGGAACGGCAUCCGGAACUGUCAAGCUAGAGUGCAGGAGAGGAAGGUAGAAUUCCCGGUGUAGCGGUGAAAUGCGUAGAGAUCGGGAGGAAUACCAGUGGCGAAGGCGGCCUUCUGGACUGACACUGACACUGAGGUGCGAAAGCGUGGGUAGCAAACAGGAUUAGAUACCCGAGUAGUC